rnacentral:rRNA from 1 species
AUUGAACGCUGGCGGCAGGCCUAACACAUGCAAGUCGAGCGGAUGAAGGGAGCUUGCUCCUGGAUUCAGCGGCGGACGGGUGAGUAAUGCCUAGGAAUCUGCCUGGUAGUGGGGGAUAACGUCCGUUAACGGGCGCUAAUACCGCAUACGUCCUUAUGGAGAAAGUGGUGGAUCUUCGGACCUCACGCUAUCAGAUGAGCCUAGGUCGGAUUAGCUAGUUGGUGGGGUAAAGGCCUACCAAGGCGACGAUCCGUAACUGGUCUGAGAGGAUGAUCAGUCACACUGGAACGGAGACACGGUCCAGACUCCUACGGGAGGCAGCAGUGGGGAAUAUUGGACAAUGGGCGAAAGCAUGAUCCAGCCAUGCCGCGUGUGUGAAGAAGGUCUUCGGAUUGUAAAGCACUUUAAGUUGGGAGGAAGGGCAGUAAGUUAAUACCUUGCUGUUUUGACGUUACCAACAGAAUAAGCACCGGCUAACUUCGUG